GCCAGUGUGGUGUAGUGGUUUGAGCAUUGGACUAUGACUCCAGAAACCAGAGUUUGAAUCCCAGCUUGGCCA